rnacentral:rRNA from 1 species
AUGUGGUUUAAUUCGAAGCAACGCGAAGAACCUUACCAGGUCUUGACAUCCUUUGACCAUUCUAGAGAUAGGGCGUCCCCUUCGGGGGCAGAGUGACAGGUGGUGCAUGGUUGUCGUCAGCUCGUGUCGUGAGAUGUUGGGUUAAGUCCCGCAACGAGCGCAACCCUUGAUGUUAGUUGCCAUCAUUUAGUUGGGCACUUUAACAAGACUGCCGGUGACAAACCGGAGGAAGGUGGGGAUGACGUCAAAUCAUCAUGCCCCUUAUGACCUGGGCUACACACGUGCUACAAUGGGCAGUACAAAGGGUAGCGAAAUCGCGAGGUUAAGCCAAUCUCACAAAUCUUUUCUCAGUUCGGAUUGUAGUCUGCAACUCGACUGCGUGAAGCCGGAAUCGCUAGUAAUCGCGGAUCAGCAUGCCGCGGUGAAUACGUUCCCGGGCCUUGUACACACCGCCCGUCACACCACGAGAGUUUGUAACACCCGAAGUCG